AAACUCAGUUUCCUUUAAUAAAUGACUUCGAAAGUUAUUAUGGUUCAGUAAGUUAUGUUAAUUGAAUAAUUGGGAUUUCGUGAAUGUAAAUAAUGGAUUUAUGACUCUUACAAAUGAACAUGGUUUUCUACCCCUCGUGGUAGCGAGUUUUAAAGUAAAAGGAUUUUCGUGUGGGAAACAAUUUUUAAAAGGAUUUUCUGGUUUUACUGGUUAUUAGUAUUUCAAAACGAGUUUCCGGAUAGAAAAUAUUUUAAACUGAUAGAUGUGGAAUCAUGGAUAAUUGUUAUGUAUGGAAUGUGAAUGUAAAUGGUGUAUGGAUGUGUGGAUAUUCAUAUGUGGUGGUUGUAUCUUGCAUUGUAUAUCUUGUACUUGUGCGACGGAGUGCAAAUACAGGGGAGACUCUGUCCGUGUGAAUAGUGAACUCCCUAUAUUUGUGACAGAUCUGGCAUACCCUGGAG
rnacentral:lncRNA from 1 species